rnacentral:rRNA from 1 species
GAUGAACGCUGGCGGCGUGCCUAAUACAUGCAAGUCGAGCGAACAGACGAGGAGCUUGCUCCUCUGACGUUAGCGGCGGACGGGUGAGUAACACGUGGAUAACCUACCUAUAAGACUGGGAUAACUUCGGGAAACCGGAGCUAAUACCGGAUAAUAUAUUGAACCGCAUGGUUCAAUAGUGAAAGACGGUUUUGCUGUCACUUAUGGAUGGAUCCGCGCCGCAUUAGCUAGUUGGUAAGGUAACGGCUUACCAGGGCAACGAUGCGUAGCCGACCUGAGAGGGUGAUCGGCCACACUGGAACUGAGACACGGUCCAGACUCCUACGGGAGGCAGCAGUAGGGAAUCUUCCGCAAUGGGCGAAAGCCUGACGGAGCAACGCCGCGUGAGUGAUGAAGGUCUUCGGAUCGUAAAACUCUGUUAUUAGGGAAGAACAAAUGUGUAAGUAACUAUGCACGUCUUGACGGUACCUAAUCAGAAAGCCACGGCUAACUACGUG